rnacentral:rRNA from 1 species
AAAAAAGGUAAGCUACUAAGAGCGAAUGGUGGAUGCCUUGACUGGUAAAGGCGAUGAAGGACGUACUAGACUGCGAUAAGCUACGGGGAGCUGUCAAGAAGCUUUGAUCCGUAGAUUUCCGAAUGGGGCAACCCAAUGUAUAGAGAUAUACAUUACCUAUAUAGGAGCGAACGAGGGGAAUUGAAACAUCUUAGUACCCUCAGGAAAAGAAAUCAAUAGAGAUUGCGUCAGUAGCGGCGAGCGAAAGCGCAAGAGGGCAAACCCAGUGCUUGCACUGGGGGUUGUAGGACUGCAAUGUGCAAGAGGUAAGUUUAGCAGAACAUUCUGGAAAGUAUAACCAUAGAGGGUGAUAGUCCCGUAUGCGAAAAACAAACCUUAGCUAGCAGUAUCCUGAGUAGGGCGGGACACGAGGAAUCCUGUCUGAAUCCGGGUCGACCACGAUCCAACCCUAAAUACUAAUACCAGAUCGAUAGUGCACAAGUACCGUGAGGGAAAGGUGAAAAGAACUGAGGUGAUCAGAGUGAAAUAGAACCUGAAACCAUUUGCUUACAAUCAUUCAGAGCCCUAUGUAGCAAUACAGGGUGAUGGACUGCCUUUUGCAUAAUGAGCCUGCGAGUUGUGGUGUCUGGCAAGGUUAAGCAAACGCGAAGCCGUAGCGAAAGCGAGUCUGAAUAGGGCGCUUAGUCAGAUGCUGCAGACCCGAAACGAAGUGAUCUAUCCAUGAGCAAGUUGAAGCUAGUGUAAGAACUAGUGGAGGACUGAACCCAUAGGCGUUGAAAAGCCCCGGGAUGACUUGUGGAUAGGGGUGAAAGGCCAAUCAAACUUCGUGAUAGCUGGUUCUCUCCGAAAUAUAUUUAGGUAUAGCGUUGUGUCGUAAUAUAAGGGGGUAGAGCACUGAAUGGGCUAGGGCAUACACCAAUGUACCAAACCCUAUCAAACUCCGAAUACCUUAUAUGUAAUCACAGCAGUCAGGCGGCGAGUGAUAAAAUCCGUCGUCAAGAGGGAAACAACCCAGACUACCAGCUAAGGUCCCUAAAUCUUACUUAAGUGGAAAACGAUGUGAAGUUACUUAAACAACCAGGAGGUUGGCUUAGAAGCAGCCAUCCUUUAAAGAAAGCGUAAUAGCUCACUGGUCUAGUGAUUUUGCGCGGAAAAUAUAACGGGGCUAAAGUAAGUACCGAAGCUGUAGACUUGCACACAACUUAGAUUAUUUAAGUUUAGAAUAUGAGAAACUAAGUUAUAUGUUUAGUUAUAUUUUUACUGAUUUUUAUAGAGUAAAGAUAGAAAUAAAACUUAGUAAAAUCAGUAAAAAUAUUCUUAGACUAAAGUUAAGUAGUUUAAGUUGUGUGCAAGUGGUAGGAGAGCGUUCUAUUUGCGUCGAAGGUAUACCGGUAAGGAGUGCUGGAGCGAAUAGAAGUGAGCAUGCAGGCAUGAGUAGCGAUAAUUAAUGUGAGAAUCAUUAACGCCGUAAACCCAAGGUUUCCUACGCGAUGCUCGUCAUCGUAGGGUUAGUCGGGUCCUAAGUCGAGUCCGAAAGGGGUAGACGAUGGCAAAUUGGUUAAUAUUCCAAUACCAACAUUAGUGUGCGAUGGAAGGACGCUUAGGGCUAAGGGGGCUAGCGGAUGGAAGUGCUAGUCUAAGGUCGUAGGAGGUUAUACAGGCAAAUCCGUAUAACAAUACUCCGAGAACUGAAAGGCUUUUUGAAGUCUUCGGAUGGAUAGAAGAACCCCUGAUGCCGUCGAGCCAAGAAAAGUUUCUAAGUUUAGCUAAUGUUGCCCGUACCGUAAACCGACACAGGUGGGUGGGAUGAGUAUUCUAAGGCGCGUGGAAGAACUCUCUUUAAGGAACUCUGCAAAAUAGCACCGUAUCUUCGGUAUAAGGUGUGGUUAGCUUUGUAUUAGGAUUUACUCCGAAAGCAAGGAAACUUACAACAAAGAGUCCCUCCCGACUGUUUACCAAAAACACAGCACUCUGCUAACUCGUAAGAGGAUGUAUAGGGUGUGACGCCUGCCCGGUGCUCGAAGGUUAAUUGAUGGGGUUAGCAUUAGCGAAGCUCUUGAUCGAAGCCCGAGUAAACGGCGGCCGUAACUAUAACGGUCCUAAGGUAGCGAAAUUCCUUGUCGGUUAAAUACCGACCUGCAUGAAUGGCGUAACGAGAUGGGAGCUGUCUCAAAGAGGGAUCCAGUGAAAUUGUAGUGGAGGUGAAAAUUCCUCCUACCCGCGGCAAGACGGCAAGACCCCGUGGACCUUUACUACAGCUUGACACUGCUACUUGGAUAAGAAUGUGCAGGAUAGGUGGGAGGCUUUGAGUAUAUGACGCCAGUUGUAUAUGAGCCAUUGUUGAGAUACCACUCUUUCUUAUUUGGGUAGCUAACCAGCUUGAGUUAUCCUCAAGUGGGACAAUGUCUGGUGGGUAGUUUGACUGGGGCGGUCGCCUCCCAAAUAAUAACGGAGGCUUACAAAGGUUGGCUCAGAACGGUUGGAAAUCGUUCGUAGAGUAUAAAGGUAUAAGCCAGCUUAACUGCAAGACAUACAAGUCAAGCAGAGACGAAAGUCGGUCUUAGUGAUCCGGUGGUUCUGUGUGGAAGGGCCAUCGCUCAAAGGAUAAAAGGUACCCCGGGGAUAACAGGCUGAUCUCCCCCAAGAGCUCACAUCGACGGGGAGGUUUGGCACCUCGAUGUCGGCUCAUCGCAUCCUGGGGCUGGAGCAGGUCCCAAGGGUAUGGCUGUUCGCCAUUUAAAGCGGUACGCGAGCUGGGUUCAGAACGUCGUGAGACAGUUCGGUCCCUAUCUGCCGUGGGCGUAAGAAGAUUGAAGAGAUUUGACCCUAGUACGAGAGGACCGGGUUGAACAAACCACUGGUGUAGCUGUUGUUCUGCCAAGAGCAUCGCAGCGUAGCUAAGUUUGGAAAGGAUAAACGCUGAAAGCAUCUAAGCGUGAAGCCAACUCUAAGAUGAAUCUUCUCUAAGCUCUCUAGAAGACUACUAGUUUGAUAGGCUGGGUGUGUAAUGGAUGAAAGUCCUUUAGCUGACCAGUACUAAUAGAGCGUUUGGCUUAUCUUUAAUAAAGCAU